rnacentral:rRNA from 1 species
GAUGAACGCUGGCGGCGUGCCUAAUACAUGCAAGUCGAGCGAACAGACGAGGAGCUUGCUCCUCUGACGUUAGCGGCGGACGGGUGAGUAACACGUGGAUAACCUACCUAUAAGACUGGGAUAACUUCGGGAAACCGGAGCUAAUACCGGAUAAUAUAUUGAACCGCAUGGUUCAAUAGUGAAAGACGGUUUUGCUGUCACUUAUAGAUGGAUCCGCGCCGCAUUAGCUAGUUGGUAAGGUAACGGCUUACCAAGGCGACGAUGCGUAGCCGACCUGAGAGGGUGAUCGGCCACACUGGAACUGAGACACGGUCCAGACUCCUACGGGAGGCAGCAGUAGGGAAUCUUCCGCAAUGGGCGAAAGCCUGGCGGAGCAACGCCGCGUGAGUGAUGAAGGUCUUCGGAUCGUAAAACUCUGUUAGUAGGGAAGAACAAAUGUGUAAGUAACUAUGCACGUCUUGACGGUACCUAAUCAGAAAGCCACGGCUAACUACGUG